UACGUAGGGUGCGAGCGUUGUCCGGAAUUAUUGGGCGUAAAGAGCUCGUAGGCGGUUUGUCGCGUCUGCCGUGAAAGUCCGGGGCUCAACUCCGGAUCUGCGGUGGGUACGGGCAGACUAGAGUGAUGUAGGGGAGACUGGAAUUCCUGGUGUAGCGGUGAAAUGCGCAGAUAUCAGGAGGAACACCGAUGGCGAAGGCAGCUUACUACCCGAAUAUUGACACUGAGGCACGAAAGCGUGGGGAUCAAACAGG
rnacentral:rRNA from 1 species